ensembl:lncRNA
GUUCCUGUCGGGGAACCCAUAGUCUUAACCCAUAGUUUUAAGGUUUGUGUCCUCUUGGACUCUAUCCUGCAUGGGGUGGAGAAUGCUCUACUGGGAGCACAUGUGUGAGUGCAUACAGGGCCAACACUGCAGCACAGCCUAAAUCAGCAUCUGCGGGGAAAGUGGGGACCUGAUGAUGAUAAUACAAAUGGGAACAAACAAAGUAGCUCAAGGCGAUUCUCCUGCCAACAUCAUCAGGAGUAUACAGGAACUGAUUGCCGGAGUUAUGGAACUAUAUCGACAUGAAGUCCAUCGUCUCUGGGAUAUGGAGAAUAUGGAGUUCUUGGAAAUGACUGAGGAAAACAUGCAGAAAGACAGUUAUGGCUGGCUUGUUCAGGACUUCAAACAGAUCAGCUCACCUGUCACUCUAACUUGGCAUGGUGCGGAACAGAGAAUAUGAAAUGCUUCAUUAAUGUUAUUCGUGCCCCAAGCGCAUUUGUCCCCUGGAAAAGACAGCACUUGUGAUUCUACAACAAUGCAUGGGAGAUCAUAGCGUCUAGUCUGAUAUGACUCAUUUCUGGCACCACACUGCUAAUUUUGGUGUGAAGUAAGCUUCUGUUUUAGGGGAUGAGACAAUGGCAUGCACUUCUCCAAUUUGCCCAUGUCCAUUUUCAGAGUGGCAGCAAGUGUCUUAUACAAAUAAAUAACUAUUCCUACUCAGACAUUAGACUUAAGGGUGAUUGUCUGUUGAAUCCACUCAUGAUGUACAAUCUAACUGGUAUAAGUUGCUGUCCUAACAAAUUGUUUUUUUCAAGAGGUGGGUGAUAUCAGUAUCAUGCAUAUGUCGUUUAUUCGUUUGACAAUGCCAAAAAUUGUACAAAUCUGAAAGCAUACAUUUUCACAAUGCAUUCAUCCUACAGUGAAACAAUCUUACCUUGAAAUGGUCAGAGCUAGAUUCCAAGCAUCUGAUGGAUAAACUCAAAUGAGCUUCAUUGGGCAGGAAGCAUCUAUAUGAUAAGCCUUGUAGGUCAUGUGACAGCAUCUUAAACGCAAUAUCAUUAAGGCCAACAUGUACAAAGACCUAAUACAUGACCGAAAGGACCAUAAACCAAGGACGGGAAUGUUCUCUCAUACAUACAGACCUAUCAUUGUCUCAGAGGCUCCUUGCUAAGGGUCUUCUCAGAGUUUUUAAGUGCAUGGUAUUGUUGGAAACAGGGUAUUGGGUAUCAACAUGUACAAGGCCUAAUCAUAGUGCAUUUGCUGACCCAUGUCCAUUGAAAGUAGUCAGUCACCACGUGUUUAUGAUGGAAGAGCUCAGAUAGUGGAGCGUUGUGUGGAACAGGUGCCAAACAUGAUUCAUAGGAGAGAUGGGGGAGAGAUGCUGGAGCGUUACCAUCUAAUUGGAGAUGAAAAACCCAUUUGUCAAACUAUAAUUUAGUCCAUUAGGGAUUAUUCAUACCUACGACAAAAAAAUAGCUUUACUUCUGGUGUUUUUUCAGGACCGAUAAAGGGUAAAUAGUUUUGUGAUUUAGUUUUUUUUAAACAAUGUAUCCAGUCAAUGAAGCUAGAAAUUGGCUUUUUAAAAAGCCAACUGGUAAAUCUGUUGAGACAAUACAAUGAAUUGAGUAAUGUUGAGACAAUGAUUAUGAAUAAACCCAAGUGAAA